rnacentral:rRNA from 1 species
CCUACGGGGUGCAGCAGUGAGGAAUAUUGGUCAAUGGCCGGAAGGCUGAACCAGCCAUGCCGCGUGAAGGUCAGUGCCCUAUGGGCGUUAAACUUCUUUUGUGCGGGAGCAAUAAUGGUCACGUGUGGCCAGACGAGAGUACCGUACGAAUAAGCAUUGGCUAACACCGUGCCAGCAGCCGCGGUAAUACGGGGGAGGCAAGCGUUUUCCGGAUUUAUUGGGGUUUAAGGGUGUGUAGGCUGUGAGGUAAGUCAGCGGUGAAAUGCCCCCGCUCAACGGGGUGAAGUGCCAUUGAUACUGGCUUGCUGGAAUGCGGAUGACGUGGGAGGAAGGUGUGGUGUAGCGGUGAAAUGCAUAGAUAUCACACAGAACACCGAUUGCGAAGGCAUCUCACGAGUCCGCGAUUGACGCUGAUGCACGAAAGCGUGGGUAUCAAACAGGAUUAGAUACCCGGGUAGUC